CCCUUAGAUGUUCUGGGCCGCACGCGUGCUACACUGACCGGCGCAACAAGCUUUUUUCCUUGGCUCGACAGGCCUGGGUAAUCUUUGAACACCGGUCGUGAUGGGGAUAGAUCCUUGCAAUUUUUGAUCUUCAACGAGGAAUUCCUAGUAAAUGCGAGUCAUCAUCUCGCGUUGAUUACGUCCCUGCCCUUUGUACACACCGCCCGUCGCACCUACCGAUUGAAUGGUCCGGUGAAGCCUCCGGAUUGCGCGGCUUCGGCUGUCGCGAGAAGUUGGCUAAACCUUACCAUUUAGAGGAAGGUGAAGUCGUAACA
rnacentral:rRNA from 1 species